CAAAAUGUAGCUUAACCACAAAGCAUCCCGCUUACACCGAGAAAAUGUUUGUUUAACCCAAACCAUUUUGA
rnacentral:tRNA from 1 species